rnacentral:lncRNA from 1 species
GGAAGUUGGUCAAUUCCAACGGUGGAAUUAGAUAUUUAUUAUUUGGUCAUUGAAUGAGUUAAAAAUUUGAUUUUAAUUUCAUCAUCAAGGAAGACCUAAAAUAAAUGACCAUAGAAACAAGUUUGGUAGGUUAAAAUGUCAAAAACUGGCAUUUUCUUCUGAGAAAAUUAAAGUGAAAAGAUUGUUCAUUGAUUUAGAUUUAAUAGUCUUUAUUGAAAAAUUAACUAGAGAAGUU